CAAGAAAUAGUUUAAUUAAAAUAAUAAUUUUGGAGAUUAUAGAUAAAUAAAAUAUUUUUUUUUGA
rnacentral:tRNA from 2 species